rnacentral:rRNA from 1 species
AUUGAACGCUGGCGGCAGGCCUAACACAUGCAAGUCGAACGGUAACAGGAAGAAGCUUGCUUCUUUGCUGACGAGUGGCGGACGGGUGAGUAAUGUCUGGGAAACUGCCUGAUGGAGGGGGAUAACUACUGGAAACGGUAGCUAAUACCGCAUAACGUCGCAAGACCAAAGAGGGGGACCUUCGGGCCUCUUGCCAUCGGAUGUGCCCAGAUGGGAUUAGCUAGUAGGUGGGGUAACGGCUCACCUAGGCGACGAUCCCUAGCUGGUCUGAGAGGAUGACCCGCCACACCUGAACUUGGACCCGGUCCCAACUCCUACGGGAGGCCACAGUGGGGAAUAUUGCACAAUGGGCGCAAGCCUGAUGCAGCCAUGCCGCGUGUAUGAAGAAGGCCUUCGGGUUGUAAAGUACUUUCAGCGGGGAGGAAGGGAGUAAAGUUAAUACCUUUGCUCAUUGACGUUACCCGCAGAAGAAGCACCGGCUAACUCCGUG